UGACGUUUGGAUGAAGCCCUGCAACACAGUGGUGGUGCAGGAUCUUCUCCAGAAGGCCCAGCAGUUCCACCAAUGGCAAACCCAAGUUAAUGCUCCCUGCUGGUCCCUUGUGGUCCCCAGCAUGCAGUGUUUGCUGGAUCCCAGACUGCUCAAGUGGGAGCUGAGAGGAAGACUGAGCACCUUGUCAAUGGGCGCUUCUUCCAGGAAGGAGGAGAACCAUGAGCCUUUUCCACAAUGCCUGCUUGCAGAACUGGGACUGGCUCCAGGGUGGGUGGCAGCAUCCCAGGGCCCGGAGCAGCAAGCAUCAGGAGCCCAAACGCCUGCUCAAAAAGGAGAAAAGCCCCAGGAGCCAAGUCAGCCUGCUGCAUGGAACGAAGAGAACCCAGGACAAGCUUCUGUCUCUGGACACCUUUUAACCUGUCAGUAGCUGAUGGCCUCAAGAUCUGCACACACUCAAAAAGCCCUCAGUGCUUGGCACCAGGAUCCAGAGCUCCAGGAGGUUUCAGUGGGCAGCAGCAGGGCCAGAUGCUGACCUCCUCACCUGCCGCAGGACCUGCUUCCCUCCCUCCUCCACCUGCACUACGCGUGCUUGGCGCUGCCACCCCCACAUCCUCAGCUCAACCCUCCCCAGGCUGUGAUGCCAGCAGCUGCUGGGGCUCUCCACCGUGGGGCCUCGUCCCCUUGCCGCAGCUGGGACACAGGCAUGUUCUCCAGGGAAGGUGUUUUCUCCAGCAAGAUACGUACCAGACGACCUAA
rnacentral:lncRNA from 1 species